rnacentral:rRNA from 1 species
UACGGAGGGUGCAAGCGUUGUCCGGAUUUAUUGGGUUUAAAGGGUGCGUAGGCGGCUAAUUAAGUCAGCGGUGAAAUUCCACAGCUUAAACUGUGUGAACUGCCAUUGAUACUGGUUGGCUUGAGUACAGAUGAGGUAGGCGGGAAUUGACAGUGUAGCGGUGAAAUGCUUAGAUAUUGUCAAGAACACCUAUUGCGAAGGCAGCUUACUAAACUGUAACUGACGCUGAGGCACGAAAGCGUGGGGAUCAAACAGG